rnacentral:rRNA from 1 species
UACCAGCCCCCCGAGUGGUCGGGACGAUUAUUGGGCCUAAAGCAUCCGUAGCCGGUUCUACAAGUCUUCCGUUAAAUCCACCUGCUCAACAGUUGGGCUGCGGAGGAUACUAUAGAGCUAGGAGGCGGGAGAGGCAAGCGGUACUUAGUGGGUAGGGGUAAAAUCCGUUGAUCCAUUGAAGACCACCAGUGGCGAAGGCGGCUUGCCAGAACGCACUCGACGGUGAGGGAUGAAAGCUGGGGGAGCAAACCGG